CUUGAUCAGAGUUCUGGUGUUGGUUGUGAUCAUGGCUGCAAUCAGUACACAGUUGACCUUUCCCAAAGGAAAUUCCCAAGAUAGCAAUGCAGAACACAGGAACUCUACAGUGGUUUAUAAGGAUCCCCACUAGCUAGUUGAAGACAGGAUUGAGGAUUUGCUUUCAAGGAUGACUUUGGCUGAGAAAAUUGGGCAGAUGACCCAAAUUGAGAGAGUAGUGGCUACCCCUGCAAUUAUAAGGGACCUUGGAAUAGAAAUCAUUGAAGGGCUACAGGGCUCUCCUCCUGAAGAACAUCCUAAUGGCUAUCCAUAUGUGGGGGGACGACAGAAUGUUGUAGCUUGUGCCAAGCAUUUUGUUGGAGAUGGUGGAACAGAGGGAGGAGUCAAUGAACACAAUACUCUGGCAACCUACUAUGAUCUUUUCUAGAUUCACAUGCGUCCAUACCUGUACUCCUUGGCAAAGGGUGUGUCAACUAUCAUGGCUUCUUACUCUUGCUGGAAUGGAGAAAAAAUGCAUGCAAACCAACACCUUCUAACUAGGAUUUUGAAAGAUGAACAUGGAUUCAAAGUAAGUAAAUAUGACAAAUAGAGUGAUUCAUUUUAUUUAUUUUCUGUAAUAAUAAUUUUAUCACAGAGGAAGAACUCUAAUCAGAACACUACUUCCAUUGGAUUUCCAAAGCAUACCGAUUUUUUUUCUUCUGAUUAAUACAUGGAGCAGGGCCAUUUAAGAAACAUGUCUUUUCUAUUACAAGAAAAUCAUGAAAUACGUUCCCAGACAAUACGCAAGAAAUCUUGAGCUGAUAAUUGGCUUGAUCGUUUUGAGUACAAGGAUUUAUCAUUUCAGAUUGGGAAGGAAUAGAUAGGAUCACCUCACCACCAGGCUCAAACUACUCAUACAAUGUUUGUUCUUCGAUCAAUGCAGGAAUGGACAUGGUGAUUUUAAAUGAUUAAUCAUGUUUCCAUACCACUAUAUUGGUUUUCUUUCCAGUCAGUAAUUUAUUUUAUCUAAUCUUGAAACUAUGUAGGUGAUGGUCCCUUUCAAGUUCAAAAAUUACAUUAGUAACCUUACAAAAUUAGUCAAUUCAGGCCAGAUUUCUAUGAGCAAAAUAGAUGAUUCAAUUAGGAGGAUUCUCAGGGUCAAGUUCAUUGCUGGCUUGUUUGAACAUCCCAAAACAGACAGAUCAUUGUUGGGCAUGGUUGGAAAUCCUAGAAAUAGCCAGAGAAGCGGUUCACAAGUCACUGGUUCUCUUGAAGAAUGGAAACAAGGGUGAGAAACCAUUACUACCUUUAAACAAGAAAACCCAGAAGAUACUAGUAGCAGGCAGUCAUGCAAACAAUCUGGGAUAUCAGUAUGGUGGAUGGACAAUAAACUAGGCAGGCAGUAGUGGAUCCAUGACUGUAGGAACCACUAUUGUGGUAGGGAUCUAGGGUGUUGAUGGUGAUUGUGGACCUAAAUUGGGUCUAGUACUAUCUAGGUUAUGGAUCGACUUAAUGAAACAUGUUGUUAGGACUUCUCGAUGUGCUUACGAGAUGACUUUUGGAUUGGAUGAUAUUUGUUUGGUCUCAGGCCGCCAUGUUUUAUAAUUAUGUAAUCGGUUUUAUUAUUUGGUGGUCGACCUAAUUGUUUAAAGUCGAGGGUUUGUAUAUAUAUGUGUAAGAUCUCUUUGUUGAUCAUGUAAGGGAUAAGGUAAUGCAAGUGAAUAAUGUAAUAAUCAUUCAUGCAGAGGAUUUGGUCGAUCAUAGGUGAUCGAGUUGGGUUUAUGCAAGAGAUUUAAGA